rnacentral:rRNA from 1 species
AGAGUUUGAUCCUGGCUCAGAAUGAACGCUGGCGGCGUGCUUAACACAUGCAAGUCGAACGAGAAAGUAUCUGCUUGCAGAUACGAGUAGAGUGGCGCACGGGUGAGUAACGCGUGGAUAAUCUACCUCCGGAUUUGGGAUAACAUUGCGAAAGCGGUGCUAAUACCGGAUAAGAUCGAGACAUUUGCGGAUGUUUCGAUGAAAGACAGCCAAUCCUUGGAAGCUAUUGUCUGGAGAUGAGUCCGCGUACCAUUAGUUAGUUGGUGGGGUAAUGGCCUACCAAGACGACGAUGGUUAGCUGGUCUGAGAGGAUGAUCAGCCACACUGGAACUGACACACGGUCCAGACUCCUACGGGAGGCAGCAGUGAGGAAUUUUGCGCAAUGGGGUAACCCCUGACGCAGCAACGCCGCGUGAGUGAUGAAGGCUUUUGGGUCGUAAAGCUCUGUCAAUGGGAAAGAAGUUAUUUUUGGUUAAUAGCCGGAGAUAUUGACGGUACCCAUGAAGGAAGCACCGGCUAACUCCGUGCCAGCAGCCGCGGUAAUACGGGGGGUGCAAGCGUUAUUCGGAAUUAUUGGGCGUAAAGGGCGCGUAGGCUGUGUAAUAGGUCAGAUGUGAAAGUUCAGGGCUUAACUCUGAAAGAGCAUUUGAAACCAUUGUACUUGAGUAUGGGAGAGGGAAGUGGAAUUCCUGGUGUAGAGGUGAAACUCGUAGAUAUCAGGAGGAACACCGGUGGCGAAGGCGACUUCCUGGACCAAUACUGACGCUGAGGCGCGAAGGCGUGGGUAGCGAACAGGAUUAGAUACCCUGGUAGUCCACGCAGUAAACGUUGAUCACUAGGUGUAGCGGGUAUUGACCCCUGCUGUGCCGGAGCAAACGCAAUAAGUGAUCCGCCUGGGGAGUACGAUCGCAAGAUUAAAACUCAAAGGAAUUGACGGGGGCCCGCACAAGCGGUGGAGCAUGUGGUUUAAUUCGACGCAACGCGAAGAACCUUACCUGGAUUUGGCAUCUUGGGAAUAUCUUAGAAAUUUGAUAGUGCCUUUCGGGGAGCCCAAAGACAGGUGCUGCAUGGCUGUCGUCAGCUCGUGUCGUGAGAUGUUGGGUUAAGUCCCGCAACGAGCGCAACCCUUAUCUUUAGUUACCAUCAUUUAGUUGGGGACUCUAGAGAUACUGCCCCGGUUAACGGGGAGGAAGGUGGGGAUGACGUCAAGUCCUCAUGGCCUUUAUAUCCAGGGCUACACACGUGCUACAAUGGUAUGUACAAAGAGUUGCGAAGCCGCGAGGUCAAGCUAAUCUCAUAAAGCAUAUCUUAGUUCGGAUUGGAGUCUGCAACUCGACUCCAUGAAGUUGGAAUCGCUAGUAAUCGUAGAUCAGCAUGCUACGGUGAAUACGUUCCCGGGCCUUGUACACACCGCCCGUCACACCAUGAGAGUUGACUGUACCAGAAGUUGUUGAGGUAACCUUCGGGGGCCAGGCACCUAAGGUAUGGUUGAUAAUUGGGGUGAAGUCGUAACAAGGUA